CUGAAAUAGGGGUAAUGAGACAAUUUUUAAAAUGUAAGGAGUAGAAAAUACAGAUAAUUGCGUGAAAAUCUAAGGCGUAGAAGUAAAAAGUCUGCUGUUAAAUUAUUACUCCAGUAAAGUACAUGUAAGGA